AGAAACUAAAUAGGAUUCUCUUAGUAAUGGCGAAUGAACUGGGAUGAGCUCACCAUGGGAAUCGGGGUCCUCGACCUUGAAUUGUAGUCUUGAGACGCACUGCCAACAAAGGCGCAGGUGUAAGCCUCUUGGAAGAGAGCAUCGCAGAGGGUGAGAGUCCCGUCUGUCACCUGCAGCCCCUUGUGUACGGCAUGCGUUCUGAGAGUCACGUUCCUCGGGAUUGGAGCGCAAAUUGGGUGGUAAGUUUCACCUCAAGCUAAAUAUUGGUCCGAGACCGAUAGCAAACAAGUACCAUGAGGGAAAGGUGAAAAGGACUUUGAAAAGAGAGUUAAAAGUGCUUGAAAUUGCUGAAAGGGAAGCGAAUGGAACCAGUUCUGCUGGGCGAGAUUGUCGCAUGCCAAGGCCUCGUGCCGGCCGCAUGCGGUGCUUCUUGCCUUGUGUGUCAGCUGCGGUCCGAAGUCGGGGAAAACUCUGGGGACAUGGAUGCCAACCUCCGGGGGGGUGAAUGUGCCUGGCAAGACCCGUCCUCGGACCGUGAGCAGUGCUUCGGCAUGUUUGCGGUGCUGACGAAAUGCUUCUAUUCGACCCGUCUUGAAACACGGACCGAGGAGUCUAACAUGUGUGCGAGUUCACGGGUGUCAAACCUGCUUGCGCAAUGAAAGUGACUGCUGGGAUACUUGCACCAGCAACCGAUCUGUCAACCGAGAGAGAUUUGAGUUUGAGCAUACCUGUUAGGACCCGAAAGAUGGUGAACUAUGCUUGUGUAGGGCAAAGCCAGGGGAAACUCUGGUGGAGGCUCGUAGCGAUACUGACGUGCAAAUCGUUCGUCAAACAUGAGUAUAGGGGCGAAAGACUAAUCGAACCAUCUAGUAGCUGGUUCCCUCCGAAGUUUCCCUCAGGAUAGCUGGAGUUGAACAGUUUUAUCAGGUAAAGCGAAUGAUUAGAGGAAUCGGGGACGUGUUGUCCUCGACCUAUUCUCAAACUUUAAAUGGGUAAGAUCCAACAGUUGCUUAAUUGAACUGUUGGGGCAAAUGUGAACUCUAAGUGGGCCAUUUUUGGUAAGCAGAACUGGCGAUGAGGGAUGAACCUAACGUUGGGUUAAGGUGCUUAACUGCUCGCUCAUCAGAUACCAUAAAGGGUGUUGGUUCAUUUUAACAGCAGGACGGUGGUCAUGGAAGUCGAAAUCCGCUAAGGAGUGUGUAACAACUCACCUGCCGAAUGGACUAGCCCCGAAAAUGGAUGGCGCUCAAGCGGGUGACUGAUACCCAACCAUUGUUGCAAUUGUGCGGCAUCAAUGAGUAGGAGGGCAUGGGGGCCUGUGAUGAUGCUUUUGGCGUAAGCCUGG
rnacentral:rRNA from 1 species